ACUACGGGAUGCAGCAGUGAGGAAUAUUGGUCCAUGGGCGCGAGCCUGAACCAGCCAAGUAGCGUGAAGGAUGACUGCCCUACGGGUUGUACACUUCUUUUAUAAAGGAAUAAAGUGAGGCACGUGUACCUUUUUGUAUGUACUUUAUUAGUAAGGAUCGGCUACCUCCGUGCCAGCAGCCUCGGUAAUACGGAGGAUCCGAGCGUUAUCCGUAUUUAUUGGGUGUAACGUGAGCGUAGAUGGGUUGUUAAGUCGGUUGUGAAAGUUUGCGGCUCAACCGUAAAAUUGCAAUUGAUACUGGCAGUCUUGAGUACAGUUGAGGUAGGCGGAAUUCGUGGUGUAGUGGUGAAAUGCUUAGAUAUCACGAAGAACUCCGAUUGCGAAGGCAGCUUACUAAACUGCCACUGACAUUGAUGCUCGAAAGUGUGGGUAUCAAACAGGAUUAGAUACCCUUGUAGUC
rnacentral:rRNA from 1 species